rnacentral:rRNA from 1 species
GCUAACAUUUAAAAAUCAAAAGAUUUCUGAAUGUGCCCGAUCUCGUCUGAUUUCAGAAGCUAAGCAGGGUCGGGCCUGGUUAGUACUUGGAUGGGAGACCACCUAGGAAGACAAGGUGCUGUAGGCG